UCUUCUUUAUUUCUGCUUCUGUUUUCUUCUUCUUCUUCUUCUUCUUAUGUUCUUCUUCUCUGCGUGUUUGAGAGAAAUCGAAUGGGAGUUCUGUGAUUGGCAUAAGGUGGGGAAGAUUAUUAAGUAGAAGAUGGUGAUGAUGUUGUGGUUUUUUGAGAACGGGAUGAAGAGAGUAGAGUUGUUGCUGUAAAUUGAAGAGGUGAUUUAUGAAGUUAGGGUUUAUGUGGAAUUGAUAUGUGAAUCCUGUUUCUGAUUGAUGAAUAAGAAGAGGGUUGUUGUUUAAUUACCGUUAUUGAGUUGUUCAGAUGGUCGAAUCAGAAAUUAGGGUUUCUUAGAGAAUUAAUUCAAAGUGGUUUUAGUGAUGUACAAGAUGAUUUGAGGACUGGGUUUAGAUGAUUGAGGAACGUGUUGAAGUAAAUUGGUUGAUAAGAGUUGUUCGUGAAGAAUUGGUGAAAUUAGAGUUUAUGUUCUGUUCUUCCCCAAAUUAUAACUAGGGUUUGUAGAUUGAAUUGUAUAUUCGUGGAAUUGAUAAGUAAACUGAGUUUUUGGUGGGUGAAGAGUGACUGGGUUGUGAUUGUGGUUUAAUUGAAAAUGUAAAGUGGUUUUAUCGGAGGAUCAGUAAGUUAAGGUUCUAAAGAGGAUUGAGAAUAAAUGGUAGAGAUGAAGGCUAGGGUUUAAUUCUGUUGGCAAGAAGGUGUUGGAGCUAUUAUUGGUUUUGGAUGAACUAAAGCUGGUGAUGAAGACUGUUGGAUUUGGUUAAAUUAGGAUAUCUGUGGAUGUGGUUGGUGAAACAACAAUUCAGAAGGUACCAGUGUUUGGGCAAGCCUCUAAAUAAUCUUGUUGUUAGUAUUUUGAUUUGAACUGUUUUAGUUAUUGAGUUCAUGAGUUGUAUUGAACAAGAAUUGGGAUUUGAUGAAUUUAAUUGAGCUGAUAGAGGUUCUGGUAGUGUGUGAUUGGAUUGGAUGAAUGUUAAGAGAUUACAAAUGUGGAUUUUUGUUGGUGGUAUUGAACUGGUGGUGCAGAAUUGGUUAAAAUGAGUAUGAUUGUUGUGUCUGAAGUGAUAUAAAUUGCUGCUGAUGCAGUAUAGAGUUACAGGUGAAAGAGUAAUGGUGAAUAGUGAUGAUGGUAAUGUUUAUGUAAUGAAUUGACUGAGGUUUUUAACAAUUCUGGAUUGAAAGUAAGGUUGUAGUUGGGCUGUGGUGAAUGUCAGAGAAUAAGAGUUAAACUGAAUUGAUUUAGAUUGUGUUGUUGUUGAAGUUCUUUAGAGUUUGGUUUAAUUGUCAUGGAAUGGACAUGAGAUUUUGGAGAAAUGGUGGUAAUGAAGUUGGCGGUGAGUGAUUGUGCUAGUGAAGAUAGUUACUGCUAUGGAGUGUGCAUUUGGCUAAUGAACUGAAAUCAGAUGAAGUUAUAGAAGUGGAUGUGCAGUGUUAUUUAUUAUUGCAGUUGAAUUUCAGGCUAGCUGUUGGUAGUGUUAUUGUUGUUGGAACUUAAGUGUACUUGUGAGAUGUUGAACUGAAGUUGAUUGUAAUGUUGUUGUGGCAGUGACCUUAGUGAAAGCCUGCAAAUGCAGUUCUAGUUAGUCUGUAUUAACAACGAUCGAUUCAAAGGACGAACCAGUGGAUCGUGGAUCUCGAGGUAGGCGUGGCUUGUCAUCAAAAGAGUUUCAGAGACAGAUCAGAGUUGCGCGGCGAAAGUUUCGAGGAGUUGAUUUCAUUAGUUGGUUAACUUCGACUAUGUUUAUGAUGUUGCAUAUUAUAUUUGUUAACCAAAUGACUAUUGUAUAUGUAUCAUUUGAGAGGAGUUCUUGUAUAUAUAUUUCUGAGCGGGGUUAGUUUUGGGUUAAGUUUUGUAGCAGAUUUAUAAUUGAAUGCUUAAG